AUGAUUAUCCAUCGUCAGUUCUCUCUGAGGAGACAGAAUGAAGUGGUUAAAACAUUAUUGUUGUGCCCCCAAAUGAGUCCCUUAUUUGUCCUUCUCCAUUUCUUCACCUCUCAUCUAAGAAACAGAGGCCAAACACCAACAGAGACUCGCCUCAGCCUGUGUCCAUUAUUUCAAGCCCUACUGCUCCUCGUCCUUCCCUGCUGCCAGGGCAGGCAUCUGAAAGCAUGCACACUGCACUGCAGGGUGGGCUCUGGACCUCCCCUCCUCACCCCUACGAGGCCGUAAUACCACUGUGCCCAGGAGUUAUUUCUAUAUUGGGAUUGCUGACACAGGUAAGUACAUUUGAAAAUCACGGAAAACAUACAUGAAUAGAUCUGUCCAAAUUAAACAUAGACCCACUGCAUCUCUUCCAGUUUGACCUUUGUGUAGUAAGAUUUUUUGUUACUGGUCCAAAAUACUUGAGCUAUACAACAUAGAAGAGGAAAGGUUAAUGCAGCUCAUGGUUUCGGAGGCUUUGGCCCAUGGUGAGCCAGCUCCAUUCCUUUUGGGCUGUGGUGAGGCAGAAAUGUGAUAGAAGGGCAUUGUGGAAAAAAGGGUGUGGCGUUAUACUCCUGAGCAUGUUCUUAAAACCAACUCCAAACCUAGUCCAUGGUUAAGAUACUCAAACACUUACUGAUAUGGUGAGUUGGUCAUUAAUGGCACUAUUAAGAAGAUGAAUAUUUCCUUUGUUUUGUUUUUAAUUUUGCCCUGAGGCUUGAACCCAGAGCCUCAUACACACCCGAACCACACUACUUCUUAAGCUCUAGCCUUAGUCCUUGUUAUCAUUUGUUUUGAGACAGAGUCUCACUAAGAGCCCAGACUGUUCUCAAACUUGCCAUCCUCCUGCCUCAGCCUCCCAAAUAGUUGGGAGUACAAGUGCGGGCCCACCCGCCU
rnacentral:lncRNA from 1 species